rnacentral:rRNA from 1 species
UACGGAGGGUGCUAGCGUUGUUCGGAAUCACUGGGCGUAAAGGGCGUGUAGGCGGUCUGUUAAGUCUGAUGUGAAAUCCCCUCGCUCAACGAGGGAACUGCGUCGGAUACUGGCAGACUCGAGUACCGGAGAGGAAGGUGGAAUUCCUGGUGUAGCGGUGAAAUGCGCAGAUAUCAGGAGGAACCCCGGUGGCGAAGGCGGGUCUCUGGGCCGAUACUGACGCUGAGGAGCGAAAGCGUGGGGAGCGAACAGG